UUGCCUACGCAGUCUAAGGUGACGCUCGAGGACGGCAAGCUUGUUCAGAAGCAGUCCGGUGACAAGGAGGUGACCAUUGUCCGGGAGGUCAAGGACAACCAGCUCCACGUGGUCUGCUCCAUCGACGACGUCGUCUCCACCCGCAAGUACCUGAAGGAGUGAGCUCUGAUCUCCUUUAAACUUAGGGCCGCUGGCCCGCGCCCCGGGUUCGAGGCUGUGAACGAGGAGGUUUCUUGGCUCACUCUGUUUGUACCACGGUGGACCUGACUCUUCGUUCGCCCUCUCCCGGUUGUGUGUGUGGGGUCUGUCGCGGCGUCAAGCUUCCACCGGGGACGACGAUGGUUCCAGCUGGGGCCCAUCCAACAACGAAGUCUUGUCUGUCUUCGAGCUUUGGUGAACCCCGCGGGGCUGCCCGCGUCUCGCCACCAGUUCCAAGUUUUUGUUUUGUUUUGUUUUUUUUUUGUUUCUGCUGCCCAAAGACAAUCCGCGUCAACCCACCUCGACUAUCGUUUUCUUUUUCUCGUCUUGUGUUUCCUUCCUCCCCGUGUAAAAGCUGAGUUAAAAAGUUGCGUGUUUGUGCAGUUGUACAUUCGCGUAUGAAAGGGCCAAAAUAAUUUUAAAAGUUUACUGUCAUUCUUCUUUCGAGAAAUUUGCUGUACCGUUUUCGUUUCGCCACUCGCGACGGUCCACAGAGUGGAUCCGCGUUCGUGUUACUGUUCAUUCCUUUGUCCCUCUGUGUACCCGAAGAGAUUUUCCUGUGUCGAGUAUGUCUUUUUCUUUUUUUUGAACAGAUCAAAUAAAUGGCUUUUUUUGAUA